rnacentral:tRNA from 1 species
GGUUGUGGCUCAGUGGCAGAGUGCCUGCCUGCCUAGCAUGUGUGAGGCACUGGGUUCAAUUCUCAGCACCA